rnacentral:rRNA from 1 species
UACAGAGGUCCCAAGCGUUGUUCGGAUUCACUGGGCGUAAAGGGUGCGUAGGCGGUCGGGUAAGUCUGAUGUGAAAUCUCACAGCUUAACUGUGAAACUGCAUUGGAUACUAUCCGGCUAGAGGAAUGGAGGGGAGACUGGAAUACUUGGUGUAGCAGUGAAAUGCGUAGAUAUCGAGAGGAACACCAGUGGCGAAGGCGAGUCCCUGGACACUUCCUGACACUGAGGCACGAGAGCUAGGGGAGCAAACAGG